rnacentral:rRNA from 2 species
AUCUCUUGGUUCCAGCAUCGAUGAAGAACGCAGCGAAAUGCGAUAAGUAAUGUGAAUUGCAGAAUUCAGUGAAUCAUCGAAUCUUUGAACGCACAUUGCGCCCCUUGGCAUUCCGGGGGGCAUGCCUGUUCGAGCGUCAUU